GUGCAGCAGUCGAGAAAACUUCACACUGUGCGAAAGCACGAUGAGGGAAUCCCAAGUGCUUGCACGUAAGUGUAAGCUGUUUCUCUGUCUAAAACGCAGAGAGAGUAAGGGCUGGGUAAGACGGGUGCCAGCCGCCGCGGUAACACCUGCAGCUCGAGUGGUGACCGUUAUUAUUGGGCCUAAAACGUCCGUAGCCGGUUUAAUAAAUGCCUGGGUAAAUCGGACCGCUUAACGGUUCGAAUUCCGGGUAGACUGUUAAACUUGAGACCGGGAGAAGUUAGAGGUACUCCUGGGGUAGAGGUGAAAUUCUGUAAUCCUAGGGGGACCACCAGUGGCGAAGGCGUCUAACUAGAACGGGUCUGACGGUGAGGGACGAAGCCCUGGGGCGC
rnacentral:rRNA from 1 species